rnacentral:misc_RNA from 1 species
UGACAUGAUGCAUGAGGAUGAUCACAAAUUAAAUUUAAAAAGUUUACACUUAUUAAGGCCAUAAUUACUUAUCUCUUGAAGUCUAUCAACCACCUAACUUGAAUGGUAGUUAUCCUCGAAUCCUUAACUUCCCAAGUGCCUCAAGUUCAAUCCUAAAGCAUCAGACCCUAAAGAGUUAUGCAAGUUCUAAAACUUUAUACACAUAAUAAACAUCUUAUUCUAGGCCCUUAGGAACCAUGAAACCAUGUUUUGGAACCUUAAGAAGGGAGA